rnacentral:lncRNA from 1 species
GUUCUUUGGGAUUGAUACAAUUGUCUCUGUUGGUCCACUACAUUUUGAGGUGGAAGCAGGGAACCUGUCACUUGGCCUGAAGAUUGUAGCCUUUGUUGCACAUCCUGUUGUAGCAGAUUAGGUUGUUGUAACUGCUGAUGGUGAGACUGAAGGGGCAUCAUCUGCUGCUGGGAUGGCUGAUUUUGUGACUGUUGUCCCUGAGAAGGAUACAAGCCAUGGCCAGCUUGGUGUGUUCGUUGCAGCGCAGCGGUUGGCUGUGAUAACAUGUGCACCGACUGCUGGUUAGUCUGGGAACUGAGCAACUGUUGUUGUGGUUGCUGCAGUCCUGCAACAUUGCUUUGAGUGCCCAGUGGUUGCUGAGUCGUAGCCUGAAGGCUGUUUUGUUGAGACAUAAAUUGCUGUUGGGCCGGUGGGUGUUGCUUCUGCUGCGGUCGCAUGUUCAUAACAUUAUUUUGCUGGUUCAGCAACCUUUGCUGAUGUUGCUGCUGCUGCAUAUCCCCAACAACAUGCUGCGCCAUCAUUUGAUUCUGCUGGAUGCCUGAGCCACUUGCAGCUUGUUGCCGCGUCAUUUGUGCUUGCUGCUGGGGAGAAAUAGACUGAUGCGGCAAUGAAGUUUGUUGCUGAUGGAUCCCAGAGGCUUGUUGUGAUUGCGGAUGUUGCCUUAGCAGCGACGAUUGCUGCUGACGAAGAAUAGUCUGUGACGUAGUCUGCUGAGAAGAGAAUUGAGGACUUGACUGCUGAUUUGUGUGGAGACCCUGGAUGGGAGCUGAGUUCACAGCUGAAGGCUGCGUUGCAGAUGUCGUACUACCAGGCUGUUGAGACGAAUGCAUUUGAUUGGGCUGCAAUACAUUUUGUUGCUGUUGUUGUAUGGGAUUGGGAACAUUCCCUGACUGAAAAUUCUGCCUGAGAAGUUGCUGCUGAUAAAGAUAUUGUCCACCCUGUGGCUGCUGCUGCUGCUGAGAAGACAUAAUAUGCGGCCUGCCCAACAUCUGCCUUUGGGAUCCUGAUAUCAUGUUGGAUGAAAGGCCAUGCUGCCCAGAUGAAUCUUGCAACACUCCGGCAACAUUUUGCAUACUGGAAUUCUGGUUUACAACGCUUGUGACGUUAUUAUUGGCUAUGGAAGAAACAGGCUGCAUGGAAGAUGGUAAACCAGUAGAACCCGCCAUUCCAGAGGCUGUAUUACUCUGCAUGGUUUGGGACAUCAACGGCUGAGGUGCUUGAGAUUGAUUGUUUGGAAGAAGUUGCCCUUGAUUGUUGGGUACUAGCAAAGUUAAACAGCACCAAAUUAAAGAAACAGUCAUCCAAAAGAGCCAGAUAAGAAGAGUUAAGCAAUACAUGGUUGAGAAUCAUGAUUACUUGAAUCCAUUGAUGUGGUAUUAUUAGCAUCAGUGGUAGUUGAGGAAGAGCCAGCAGCAUUUUGAGAUUUAGUCUCCAUAGUCAGCAUCUUCAUGGAUAUCUUCCGAAGGUAAUCAGUCUGAAAAUUCAAUAAAAAAAAUCAGGGAGGUAUAUAUAGCUUUACGGCUACCAAAGUCUGUUAUUUUCCAGCUUGUUAAAAAAAGUGGAUGUUCAGUACCUGGUUAACAGCACCGCUGAAAGUUUUCUCCUCAAAUCUGGCAGCAAUUCUCCUGAGAUCGUUAAUUCCUUCUGGUCCAGAACUCGGAAGGUGCCUGCUUAGUGUUUCCAUUCUGCGCAUAGAGUAAGAAAAACAGAAGUAAGGGUCAAAAAAGUGUAACACCAUGUAUUUCUGAUGAAACAUUUUGGAGACAUAACAUUACAACAACACCAGUUAAUAUUAAUAUUAAAUAAACUUACAUCUUGUUAACGAUCUUCUGGCGUGAAUCAGGUGGCAACUGUUUUCUCCACUCACCAUUGUUAAUGGCUGCAGAUUCUCCAUUUGGAAUGGAAAGUCUCCAGUUGUUGUUAUCCAUCAAGUGUUCCUACGUUCGCAAACCAUGAUAACCAAAACAUGAUGCUCAUAUCCCAAAAAAAAAAACUACAAGAAACAAACGACCACACAGAAGAUGGAUUAUUAUUAUUCACACUCAUAAUUUCUCAAUAUAUGUCGCUUUCCUUUUUUUUCAUUUGUGCCAAAUAAUCAGACCAGACAGGAUAAUAAUAAUAGAAAGUUUGAGACAUCAGAAAUUAAAUAAGGAAUCACCAACCCUGAAGAAAAUCAAAACAAGUUGUGUUCACUGAUCAGCCAAAAUUUUCAUUUUUUUUAAUUACCAGCUUUGUCUCCUGUCCGUAGCAGAAAGUCACAUACAGUACAGCUUGCCGAGACUCCGACCACAAGAUAAAACUCGAAAGCAACAGAUGGAAACCAAAAAAAAAAAAAAAAAAACGAGAUUCGAAAAUUUCACCUACAAUUUUUAAAGUGUGUCGAGGCGAUUUCGCGGUUGCUACAAACGAUUAGAGUCUGCCUUUAGGAAAAAAAAAAGGAGUUAAAUUAGGGUUUAGGUUGAUCGAGAAAUGAAAUUGAAGAAUAUAUAAAAGAAUGUUUCUGGGCAAACGCAGAGGAAGGAAACUUCAUGCGUCUUAAGCUGACAACUGUGUCCCCUCAACUUCGCUUAUAAGUUAUGACCAAAGUUUUCAAUGUCGUCGCGCUGCUUUUUAAAUUACCACUAACCCCCUCCAAUUAAACAUAAAUUACAAGGUCCACUGUGUAUAAUAAAUAUGUUGAGAAAGUUCCCUACGACGACGUUUCAAUAUCGGUACGAGCUGUUAGCGCGUAGCCGCGUAUCAACCAAUUACCAAGAACGAAAUAAUUUGAAUAUUUUAGAGUUAACAUAAACCGUUUCCUUUAGCUUUGCAAGUUUUUAGAAUCUAAUUCUCUGAGUAGAUACUGAUUUCGGUGAUCACUAGCAGAGUUUAAUGUACUUAUGUACAUAAUAAACAAAGUAAUGGACUUCUCAUCUUUUUCAUUCGAUCGACUAGAAAAACAUGCGACUAUAAAAAGUCAAUGAGCAAGCAACACACACAGGAAGUCUUAAAGAUUUUGCAAGAAAGACCACAACUCAAAGUUUCAGUAAAAUACAGACAACUUUUAGAGGGAGAUGAAAUCAACUUUGUAGACUUAAAAGAACAACUUUCUAGACAGACCAAAAUUCACAGAGAAGAGCCACAAAAGGGGCAGAAACGGAACUCAGGCUCCACGACUCGAUCGCAGAAACGGCACGUAGCUAGAGAUAUCGGCGGAGGGAAAAACAGAUCGCAGUCUCUACAAUGGAGUACUUGAUCUUUCCCGGGCCAUCUCCAGACAGGAACAAAGAACAGCUUCAAGACUUUGUCGUAAUCCACCAAAUCGGCCUCCGAGCCACAUCUUAUGCACUUUCCGGCGCCGGAUUUGAGCACCUGCCUCACCUGUUGCCCUAAUCCACCAGCGAAGAAAAAGAACAUCCUCUGUUUUCAGAAUUACCUGAGAUCUCCUUUUUUUUUUUAAGCUCUUCAGACACUUGUGCAGGGUUCACAAGAAAAACUUGUUAAGAUUUCAGAUUAAGGGGAAGAUAUAAUUUAGUCUAUCUUCUAGUUGUUUCUAGCAGAGGUAAGAUAAGAACAUAACUUUUGAUUUUGCCAUGUUCUAGGUGUUUCCAGCCCUUGUAAGAAACAUAGUCUUGGUUUCCGAUUUUUUUUUUUUUUUGUCUUUUUUGGUUUGGCCAACAUCCAAUAGAAUACAUGGAUGAUCAGCAGAUAAUUAAGUACCUGGUUAACAGCACCGCUGAAAUUAAAUUUUCUCCUCGAACCUGGCAGCAAUUCUCCUGAGCUCGUUAAUUCCUUCUGGUCCAGAGUGAGGAAGGUGCCUGCUUAGUGUUUCCAAGUAAAUAGAGUAAGAAAAACAGAAGUAAAGGUCAAAGAAGUGUAACACCCAUGUAUUUCUGAUGAAACACUUUGCAGAAGCUUAAUAACAACACCAGGUAAUAUUAAUAUUAAAUAAACUUACAUCUUGUUAGCGAUCUUCUGGCGUGAAUCAGGUGGCAAUUGAUUUCUCCACUCACCAUUGUUCAUGGCUGCAGAUUCUCCAUUUAGAAUGGAAGGUCUCCAAUUGUUGUUAUCCAUCAAGUGUUCCUAAGUUUACAAACCAUGAUAAGAAGAUAACCAAAACAUGAUGCGCAUAUCGCAAGGAAAAAAAAAACUACAAGAAGCAGACAACCACACAGAAGAUGAAUUAUUAUUAUUCACACUCAUAAUUUCUCAAUAUAUGUCGCUUUCCUUUUUUCCAUUUAUGCCAAAUAAUCAGACCAGCCAGGAUAAUAGUAAUAGCAAGUUUGAGACAUAGCUUGAGAAUCACAAUCUCUCGUUCCUAGGUGAAGAUGUUAUGCAGCUGAAUUCUAGGGUAUAUGAGCAUAUUCACUCAUCAGAGUAGCUACAUAGCAGGUUGAUCCUGAACCGGAAGUAGCAAAAUACCCAAACAUGUAUUGAAUUAGGAGAGAUUGGAUAUCCGAACCCGAACAGAUAAUAUCCAAACCCGAAUGAAUAUCCAAAAAUAACCGAACAUAAAUAUAUAUAUAUAUAUAUAUAUAACCUUAUAUUUUUAAUAUAAAUCGUUUAUUUUAUUUAAAAUAUUUAUAUUGAUGUUACACUACUUUAAAAUCAUAUAAUAUGCAUAUAAGUACAUAUAAAAUGAUAUGAUACUCUAUAGGUUUCUUGUGUAAAGCCAUAUUCUUUCUACAUUGAUCAAUAAAUUUCACAUUUCAUAAAAAAAAGGUUUGAUAGUCACUUUAAAUGCAUGUCAAGCUUUUUAUUUUAUGUAUUAACAAAAGUUACAUCCAUUUUUUUUUUAAAAAUGACCAAAUUAUUUAUUUUUGCAAUGUUAUCUCCAAAUCUAUUAAUCACUCAAUCUAUUAAAAAUAAAAAAAAAUCAGUUGAGUGAAAAUUAUAUUUUUAAAUACAAGAAACUUAAAACAAUGAAAAAAAUAAUUUUUUAUUUUAAAAUCUAAAUAUCCGAACCCAACCCGAAAUAACCGAAUCUGAUUUAAAAAUAUUCGAAGCCGAUCCAAAAUACAAAAAUACCCAAACGGGUUCUAUAUCCCUAUGCCAAAAUACCUAAAAAUCUGAAAUACCCGACCCGAACGACCAAUUAGAAUUAGUAAGAACGAAAUAAUUGAAUAUUAGAGUCAACAUAAACCUAUUUUAAUAAGUGAUAACUCUAAUAGUUUUUCCUUUCACCAAAAACAACAUAUGUUUUUUUUUUUUUUUCAAUUUGAAAUUCCACCUAACGAACAGAAACAAUGGUUACAACAGUGAUUUAGUGAUUUAAGUAAAACCCCAACGACUUAGGACUGUCUUUCUCCGAAACACACAGUCGAGUUACUUCGCAAGCUCGGACUCAAUUCUAACAAAUGACACACAGCCAGACCGCUUAUCAUAAUCUUGAAUCCGAUUUCUAUGAUCACCGGCUUGUCCCGGUUAAUCGGGACGGGAGAACAUAGUCUCCACUUUCUCCUCACCAAUGAACCGUUCCGACUUCUGCAUUUUAAUGGAUUUGUAAAUCUAAACUAAAUGUAGUGUUAUUGGUUCUAUUAUUUUAAAAUUCACAUUCAAAUCCAUAGUUAUUGGUUUUAUGAUUUUAAAAUAAAUUUUAGAAUCAUGUGUUAUUCAAUAAUAAAGAUUUGUGUAUGGAUUUAAUUUGCAACUGGAUUUGAUUGGAUUUGUAACUAUUGUUAAGAGUAAAAUACAAAGGAUCAAAUAUUGGGUUUAACCUUGUUAUUUUGGCUGGAUUUGUUUUAUAUUGUUUUUUUUUCAUUCUUUAUACUUUUGUGUCCCAACACACAUCAGUUGAUGCAUUACUUCAAAUUUUAUACAUUGUUUUUUGCUCAUGUUAAAAACAUGCACUAAGCACAUGUCCAUACAAACAUAUUGUAUAAUGCAUACGAUAAUAAAAAGAGAUGCAACGAGAGAUGUAUUCCAUAUGAACGUAUCCCCACAAAUUGUGUGCGACCAGCUUUUGCUGCUUAGCAAAAUGAAAAAGAGGCAAGAAAGAUGAUGAAUGGUGGAGAAGAUAAAGUCGUCGAUAAGUUCCGAGAAUACUCCGUUGAGAUUUCUGAAAAAAUGACAAGUAAAUCUGUUUUGUCAGAAAUUUUUACUUUUGAUCCGAUCAAACUUCCGAUAACAUGGUGAAAAAAUAGUUUGAUCCGAAAUUUCUGAGGAGAUGCCAUGAAAAGUUUGUUCUGAAAAUCCAUGUUUUUGGAAGUUGCAGUCGGAGAACAUAAUGUUCUCUUGUAGUGUUUUAUUUAGGUCUAGUUACAAAUCCAUUGAUUUAUAACAAUUCAUUUAUUUGAUUUUAAAAUACUCAUAUCAAUAAUUCUCACUGGAUUUUUGGAAGAUUUCUAAAUAUAAGGAGAAUUUAUAAAUCCACUAAACUAACAGAACCAAUAACCCCCACUUAAUAAAUCCGACAAAAAUACACAUAACAAACAGAAUCUUGCAUUGCUACAGAUACUAGAAAAACGAGAAACCACUUCUUUAUAUACAAAUAUGUAAAUGCAGUUGCCUUCCCCCUUAUUUGGCUUUAGCUUCCCUCUUCCAUACUCUGCAUCUUCAAGGAUAUUUUGCAAAAGUAGUCCAUCUGAAACUCGAAACCAGCACACAACAUCAAGAAACAAAGGAGAGCAUGAUAUCGAGGAUGUAACUCACUGAGCUUAAUAAAAAAAAAUAGCGUAACCUGAUUUUUUGCGGUGUUGAAAAUCAACUCCUCGAAGCUGACAGCAAUUCUCAUGAGCUCUUCGAUUCCUUCUUCCCCAGAAUAUGGAAGAUUCUUCUUCAGUGUUUCCAAUCUGCCAAAUGGCAAAACUCACUUCUCUAUUUAUAAACAUAUGCAUGGCAAAAUGUUGUAAAACAUUCUACUUCGACAGAGUUUUAUCAUCAAAUUGGCUUUGGGGAAGCAAAAAAGGAGCAAGAGUUGAUAAAUAUGACAAAUUUGGAGGAGGAACAAACUCACAGCGUGUUGACAUUCUUUUGGCGUGAAGCUGGUGGAUGUAGAGUUCUCCAGUCAACUGUGUUUAUGGCAAGAUUACCUAUGUGGACAAAGCAAAGCAUUAACAUCAGGAUUCUAGCUCCAUUUAAAACCUUCAAGAGAAACGAAUCAAGUGGGAAAAUGGAUGCAACUGAUCUCCAACAUCCAUUUAUAAAACCAAGAAAAUGGAUUGCAUCUGCGGAUUUGCUUGACCAUCAUGAGAAUGAUUACCGUUCUGAGAUGACUGUUGCUUCACAGGCUGCAUCUGAGGUUGCGGAAGCUUCCCUUGCUGUACUAGCUUCCUCGGCCUGUGCAUAUUUAAGAAAUCUACAAUCUGCUUCUCAUAAUAAGCCACCCUAUCCCUUAAUGCAGGCACGAUAUUUCUCUUUGAAACCGACAGGAAUUGUAUCAUUCGCUCCACCAUUAUCUUGAAUUGUUUCAAUUUAUUAAACUGCUCUGAUCUUUGUUGCUGCGGAAGAGAAUCCAUCUGGGGAGAAAAAGAAUUGUGCUCAAUAAGAAAAGAGACAACCACAUCCGAUGUGUACUUUCUACUGGACAGUAAUUACACGAGUCUCAAGAGCAUCUUUUGGUGAAAUGGUUUUCAAGACACCAAAGUUGUACGCCUUUCUUUUGCAAUGUCGAACCAGUUUUGCAUUGAAUUCAUAGAGAUUCUCACUCAGAUACUCUACUGUUUCAGAGAACAUACACUCCAACUCUCCUAGAAAAAAAUAUCGCAACUUACUUGCUGCAACUUGGCUAUAACUCUCUGGUAGAUUUCGGUAACAUCUGGUAAGUACGCAUCUUUCAUAAUUUUGAUCUGCAAAGACAAAGCACCGUGGGAACACGAUUACUCAUUACGGGAGGCCGGAAGCAUUACUCAAAAUAGAAAGAAAAAACUACCUUUUGGUAAACCUCCUCUUGCCAAUCAACACCAUUUGCAUUUUCCGUCUGUGCCGUUGAGUCUACCGAUGCUAACAUUUAUAAAAAGUGGGUUUGCUCAGCAUCAGAUCUUGCCGAGGGAUUAUGUAAAGUAUCAGAAACUAAAGUAUUCACAAGGAUGUAGAAAAAGCAUACAUGAUGGCAUCUCCGGAAGGGUUCUUUGGGAUUGAUACAGUUGUCUCUGUUGGUCCACUACAUUUUGGGGUGGAAGCAGGGAACCUGUCACUUGGCCUGAAGAUUGUAGCCUUUGUUGCACAUCCUGUUGUAGCAGAUUGGGUUGUUGUAACUGCUGAUGAUGCGACUGAAGGGGCAUCAUCUGCUGCUGGGAUGGCUGAUUUUGUGACUGUUGUCCCUGAGAAGGAAAUAAGCCAUGGCCAGCCUGGUGUGUUCGUUGCAGUGCAGCGGUUGGCUGUGAUAACAUGUGCACCGACUGCUGGUUAGUCUGGGAACUGAGCAACUGUUGUUGUGGUUGCUGCAGUCCUGCAACAUUGCUUUGAAUGCCCAGUGGUUGCUGCUGAUGAAGGCUGUUUUGUUGAGAUAUGAAUUGCUGCUGGGCCGGUGGGUGUUGAUUCUGCUGCUGUUGCAUGUUCAUAGUAUUAUUUUGUUGGUUCAGUAACCUUUGCUGAUGUUGCUGCUGCAUAGCCCCAACAACAUGCUGCCCCAUCAUCUGCCUCUGUUGGAUGACAGAGCUAUUUGAAGCUUGUUGCCGCAUCAGUUGUGCUUGCUGCUGAGGAGAAAUAGACUGCUGCGGCAAUGAAGUUUGUUGCUGAUGGAUCACAGAGGCUUGUUGUGAUUGCGGAUGUUGCCUUAGCAGCGAUGAUUGAGCAGACACUUGAGGACUUGAUUGUUGAUUUGUGUGGAGACCUUGGAGGGGAGCUGAGCUCACAGCUGAGGGCUGCGUCGCAGAUGUCGUACUACCAGGAUGUAUCUGCGACGGCAAAACCGAAUUGGGAUUGGAAAAGUUCCCUGACCGAAAAUUCUGCCUGAGAAGUUGCUGCUGCUGAGAAGACAUAGUAUGCGGCCUGCGCAACAUCUGCCUAUGGGAUCCUGAAAGCAUGUUGGACGAAAGGCCAUGCUGCCCAGAUGAAUCUUGCAACACUCCGGCUACAUUUUGCAUAUUGGAAUUCUGAUUUACAACACUUGUGACAUUAUCAUUGCCUAUGGAAGAAACAGGCGGUAUGGAAGAUGGUAAACCAGUAGAGCCCGCCAUUCCAGAGGCUGUAUUACUCUGAAUGGUUUGGGACAUCAACGGCUGAGGUGCUUGAGAUUGAUUGUUCGGUAACGUUCCUGGAAGAAGUUGCCCUUGAUUGGCGGGUACUAUUCAAGAAAAAGUUAAACAGCACCAAAUUAAAGAAACAGUCAUCCAAAAGAGCCAGAUAAGAAGAGUUAAGUAACACAUGGUUGAGAAUCAUGAUUACUUGAAUCCAUUGAUGUGGUAUUAUUAGCAGCAGGGGUAGUUGCUGAAGAGCCAGCUGCAUUUUGAGAUUUAGUCUCCAUAGCCAGCAUCUUCAUGGAUAUCUUCCGAAGGUAAUCAGUCUGAAAGCCGAAAUAAAAGAAAAUCAGGGAGGUGUAAAUGGAUUUGAUACCCCAUAGCUUUACUAGUACCAAAACUCGUUCUUCAUCAGGCUGUUAAGAAAAACAUGAAUGUUCAGCAGCUGAUUAAGUACCUGGUUAACAGCACCGCUGAAAAUUUUCUCCUCGAACCUGGCAGCAAUUCUCAUGAGCUCAUUAAUUCCUUCUGGUCCAGAUUGAGGAAGGUGCCUGCUUAGUAUUUCCAUUCUGCGCAUAGAGUAAGAAAAACAGAAGUAAAGGUCAAAAAAGUGUAACAUUUUGGAGACAUAACAUUACAACAAAACCAGUUAAUAUUAAAUAUUAAAUAAACUUACAUCUUGUUAACGAUCUUCUGGCGUGAAUCAGGUGGCAACUGUUUUCUCCACUCACCAUUGUUAAUGGCUGCAGAUUCUCCAUUUGGAAUGGAAAGUCUCCAAUUGUUGUUAUCCAUCAAGUGUUCCUACGUAUACAAACCAUGAUAAGAAGAUAACCAAAACAUGAUGCGCAUAUCGCAAGGAAAAAAAAACUACAAGAAGCAGACAGAAGAUGGAUUAUUAUUAUUCACACUCAUAAUUUCUCAAUAUGCCAAAUAAUCAGACCAGCCAGGAUAAUAAUAAUAGCAAGUUUGAGACAUCAGAAAUUAAAUAAGAAAAUCAAAACAAGUUGUGUUCACUGAUCAGCCAAAUUGUUUUUUUUUUUUUUUUAUUACCAGCUUUGUCUCCUGUCCCUAGCAGAAAGCCACAUACGAAACGAAUAAACAUACUUUAUGACAUGACACAAGCAAAGUUAAUCAAUUCUCCUAAUUAGUAAGAACCGAGAAUCACAAUCUCUAGAGGGCGAUGGCUAUAUAGUAUAGCUUCCCGAGACUCCGAUUACAAGAUAAAACUCCAAAAGCAACAGAAUGACACCAAAACAAAAACGAGAUUCGAAAAUUUCACCUAAACUUUUCAAAGCGUGUCGAGGCGAUUUCGCGGUUGCUACAAACGAUUAGAGUCUGACUUUAGGAAAAAAAUAGAAGUUAAAUUAAGGUUUAGGUUAAUCGCGAAAUGAAAUUGAAGAAUAUAUAAAAGAAUGUUUCUGGGCAAACGCAGAGGAAGGAAACUUCAUGCGUCUUAAGCUGACAACUGUGUCCCCUCAACUUUGCUUACGAGAGCAUGUUUAACAGGGUUCUUGUGGGGUUUUCAGCUAUAAGAAUUCAUUUCUUAACUUUUUUUUCUUUUUUUUGUCUGACUUUUUUUUUUUCCUCGAUAAAUAUUUGAUUCACAGAAUUAAAAACCCACAAUACAACAUACAUAAGCCCAAGAAAAUGAAUUAAAAUACAACAAACAUCUGGAUCCAAGACCCAACUAUGAAAAUUCUAGGAGACAAACGAGGUUCCACCGCCAUACAGACAAACGCUGCAGUUUAGACGUCGCCCUCGCUUUGAAACACCACCGGAUAACCAACCAUCGAUUCAUUCGGAUCCACCAGAGCUCACUAACUUUAAACCAUCACCACCGCAAACGUCUUUAACUCAAGUGAACCCAAUAUGGGAGAGCAUCAAUCGACUGUUCGAGAUCUCAUCUGUCACCAUUCAUCACAAGCACCGAGAGAAAAGCUUCACGCGAACCAUCACCGUUAACAAUGGUCGAGCUUCGAUCGUCCUCCGACGAUAUCUCCACCAACCCUAACCAAACCAAAAGCGUAAAACUAAAAAAAAGGAGACAACCAAACCCUAAAACGGAAUUAGGGAACCAAAAAUCGGCAAAGCAAAGCAAGGAACGCCUUCACCCCCCAGGAUCUAGACCGACGACGGCAGAGCUGACGAAGCUUCCACCUCUCGGGGACAGGAACCGGCAUCGACGGAGCUGGAGGAGCCUCCACCUCCCAGAGACAAAACCAAGUAGCCGAACGAAGAACUUCACCGCGCCUUUCUCAAUACGACCGCGCCUUUACGCCAGAGACAGAUCCGCCAUGGGCGGCCUUGUUCCAGAGCUCAGGCAAAGCGGAAGAAAGAGGGGACAAGAGCAAAGCAAAAAUCGAAAGCUUUAAAGGUGGCUUGAGGGACUCUGGUGACGGCACGCACGCUCACGCGCCGGCCGGUUACCAGACCCGGUUAUAAAUCUACUUUCUCUUUCUACUUUCUCUCUCCGGGUACGUAAUUUAUUUCUUAACUUUUAAAUACCGAUUUUUAGUUAAAAUAUUAAUAGAGAGUUUUUAUAUUCCGUUAAAAAAUAACUCAAUUAAACAUGCUCUAAAUUAUGACCAAAGUUUUCAAUGUCGUUGAGCUGCUUUUUAAAUUACUAGAAACCCCUCCACUUAAACUGCAUUACUAGUUCACUUUGUAUAAAUAUUGUGUGUUGAAAGGUUCCUUAAGACGACGUUUAAUAUCGAUUCAUUCAUGUCGUUCAAAUUUUCAAAAGUAGCUGUUGUAGCGCGUAUCAACCAAUCAAUCAAAACGAAAUAAAUGAAUAUUAAGAGUUACAUAAACCUAUUUAUAAGUGAUAACUCUAUUUUCUUUUAUCAAAAUAAGUGAUAACUUAGUUUUUGUUUCCACCAGAAAAAGGAAGAGAGAUUCUUUUUCGUUUGCUACUGUUACUAAGAAACUAGAAAUCACACUUGACAUGUUUAGUCAUGGCUUCAUGCCUCUUGCAGGUUUCUUCUUUAUACACAAAUAUGUACAUGCACUUGCCUUCCCCCUUAUUUGGCUUUAGCUUUCCUCUUUCAUACUCUGCAUCUUCAAGGAUAUUUUGCAAAAGUAGUCCAUCUGAAACUCGAAAUCAACACACAACAUCAAGAACACAAAGGAGGGGAUGAUAUCAAAGGAAGUACACAUUGAGCUUAAUCAAAAAUAGUGAAACCUGAUUUUUCGCGGUGUUGAAAAUCAACUCCUCGAAGCUCACAGCAAUUCUCAUGAGCUCUUCGAUUCCUUCUUCCCCAGAAUAUGGAACAUGUUUCUUCAGUGUUUCCAAUCUGCUCAAAUGACAAAAGUAACUUAUAAACAUAUUCAUGGCAAAACGUUGAAAAACAUUCUACAUUUCAACAGAGUUUUAUCAUUAAACUGGCUUUGGGGGAGGGAAUAAGCAGCUAAGAGAGAAAAUAUGACAAAUUUGGAGGAUGAACAAACUCACAGCGUGUUGACAUUCUUCUGGCGUGAACCUGGUGGAUGUAGAGCUCUCCAGUCACCUCUGUUUAUGGCAAGAUUACCUAUGUGGACAAAGCAAAGCAUUAAGUUCAGAUUUCUAACUCCAUUCAAACCCUUCAAGAGAAACGAAUCAAGUGGGAAAAUGGAUGCAGCUGAGCUCCAACAUCCAUAUAUUACACCACGUAAAUGGACUGCAUCGACAGAUUUUCUUGACUAUCAUGAGAGUGAUUACCGUUCUGAGAUGACUGUUGCUUCACAGGCUGCAUCUGAGGUUGCGGAAGCUGCCCUUGCUGAACUGGCUUCCUCGGCAUGUGCAUAUUUACGAAACGUUUAAUCUGCCUCUCAUAAGAAGCCACCUUAUCCUUUAAUGCAGGUUUUAUAUUUCUCUUUGAAACGGAUAGGAAUUGUAUCAUUCGCUCCAACAUUGUCUUUAAUUGUUUCAAUCUAUUAAACUGCAGAGAUCUUUGUUGAUGCGGAAAAGAAUUCUGCUCGAGACAAAAAAAAGAAUGUUUUCAACAAGAAAGAGACGAGCACAUAGAUUGCAAGCUAAAGGAACAUAAAUAUCCGAUGUUUACUUUCUACUGGACAGUAAAAAUACGAGCAUCUUUUGGUGCAAUGGUUUUCAAGAUGCCAAAGUUGUAUGACUUUCUUUUGCAAUAUCGAACCGGUUUUGCAUUGAAUUCAUAGGAAUUCUCGCUCAGAUACUCUACUGUUUCGGAGGACAUACACUCUACUCUCCUAGAAAAAUAUAUAGCAACUUACUUGCUGCAACUUGGCUGCAACUCUCUGUUUGACUUCUUUUAGAUCUGAUAAGUACGUAUCUCUCAAAGUUUUGAUCUGCAAAGACAAGCACAAAGAUCACACGGUUACUCAUUACGAUGAUAUCAAAAUAAGAUCGCCUGCCGUGUUGCAUUUAUCUCUUAUAGAUUUAAUAAACGUAGACAGAAUAGGUAUAAAGAUAGCAAACUUAUUUUAUCUCCCCCAAACACUUAUGAGUACUGACGGCAAGGCCUGAAGCAUUACCCAAACUAGAAAGAAAAACUACCUUUUGGUAAACCUCCUCUUGCCAAUCAACAGAAUUUCCACUUUCCGUCUGUGCCAUGGAGUUUAACAAUGCUACAAUUUAUAAAAAUGGGGUUUGUUUAGCAUCAGAUCCAGCUGAGGGAUUAACUUAUGUAAAGUAUUCACAAGGAUGUAAACGCAUACACACAGGAUGGAAUCUCUGGAAGGGUUUGUCUCUGUUGGUCCACUACAUUUUGAGGUGGAAGCAGGGAACCUGUGAAUUGGCCUGAAGAUUGUAGCCUUUGUAGCAGAUUAGGUUGUUGUAACUGCUGAUGAUGCGACUGAAGGGGCAUCAUCAGCUGCUGCUGGGAUGGCUGAUUUUGUGACUGUUGGCCUUGAGAAGAAAACACAACAUGAGAUGAUUGUUGGGGAAGCUCCCCUUGCUGAACUGGAUUCCUCGGCCUUAGCAUAUUUACCAAAUCUAUAGUCUGCUUCUCAUAGAUAGCCACCUUAUCCCUUAAUGCAGGUAUGACAUCUCUCUUUGACACCGAUAGGAAUAGUAUCAUUCGCUCCACCGCUGCCUUGAACUGUUUCAAUUUCUCAAACUGCUCUGAUCUUCGUUGCCGCGGAAGAGAACCCAUCUGGGGAGAAAAAGGAAUGUGCUCAAUAGGAAAAGAGACAACCACAUAGAUUCAAGCUACAACCUUUGUCAGUUUGGGAAGGAAAAUAAAUAUCCGACAAUUACUUUCCACCGGACAGUAAAAAUACCAAAUUUGUGUGACUUUCUUUUGCAAUAUCGAAUUGGUCUUGCAUAGAAACUCUCGCAGGUACUACUGUUCUGGAGGACAUACACACUACUCUCUUAGAAAAAAAAACUUACUUGCUGCACCCUGGAUGCAGCUCUCUGAUAGAUUACGGCAAGAUCAGGUAAGUACGCUUCUUGUAUAGUUUUGAUCUGCAAAGACAAAGCACCAUGGACACACACGGAUUACUCAUUACAAUGAUAUUUAUGUAAGAUCGCCUGUCGUGUUGCAUAUAUAUACAGCAAACUUAGUUGACAGCAAGACUAAGAAGCCGGAAGCAAUACCCAAAUUAGAAAAAAAGAAAACUACCUUUUGGAAAACCUCCUCUUGCCAAUCAACCGCAUUUCCACUUUCCGUCUGUGCCGUGGAGUCUAGCGAUGUUACAAUUAAUAAAUAAAUAAAAGGUUUUGUUGAGCAUCAGAUCCUAAAGUAUUCACAAGGAUGUAAAGGCAUACAUGAUGGCAUCUCCUGGAGGGUUCUUUGGGAUUGAUACAGUUGUUGUCUCUGUUGGUCUCCGGAAGGCCUCCAAUUGUUGUUAUCCAUCUAAGUGUUCCCUACGGUUACAAAAAUCUACAGAAAACAAACGACCACACACAGAGAUGAAUUAUAUUGACAAGAAUCAGAGCAGCCAAAGGCUAAUUCUAACAAGUUUGAGACACGGAAUCACCAACCAACCCUAAUAGAGAAUCAAAACCAAAUUUUUCAUUUUUGUUUACUCUUGUUAACAAAAAAAAGCGACAGACUCAACCUCAAAGUAGCAUAUCGUAAAACGAGUAAGCAUACUGUGUCAAUCACACCAAAAAAAAAGAAGGUUAAAUCUAUUCUCCUAAAUAGUAUGAGAACCACAAUCUGUAAAGCGCGAUAGCGAAAUAAUAUGUCUUCUCGAGACUACUGAUCACAAUAGAAAACGAAAUUCUAAAAUUUCACCUCGAGGCGAUUUCACGGGUUGUUACAAAGGAGUAGGAUUGAUCGGGAUGAAGAAAGGAUGACCAAGUUUUCAAUGUCGUCGCGCGGCUUUUAAAUUACCAAAAACCCCUACAAUUAAUGAUCAAUUACUGUAUAAUCUUGCCAAGUGUCAACUACAAGUUCACUAAACCCCAAAUUUAAUUGACCCACCAAUAUAAAGACGGCGCUUAGUCUCAUCAUGUGCUUUAAUUUUUUCAAUUGAUGUUUGAUGUCGGAGAAACCAGAAAUCAUCCCAAUUCCCAAUGGCAUACACUCGACCAUGUAUGGUUUAUUCAUGCCUUUUCUUGUUUUUCUUUUUAAGAGCAUCUCCAAAAAGAAACUCUAUUUUGAAGUUUCCAAAACUCUAUAUUUGAAGUUUCAAUGUGUUCUUCUCCAAAAGUAAAACUUCAAACCUAACUUCAAAAUUAUUUAUAUUUUACACUAUGGUCCUUAUAUUUGUCAUAGUUGAUGUAAAUUCAUAAAAUUUCUAUAAAUAACUAGUACAUAUAUAUAAAUAUUACAGAAAUAUUAAUUAAAAAAAUCUUACACUAAACGAUAAAAUUAUAAAUAAAAGUACAUACUUAAAUAUUAAACUGCAAACAAAUAUUAUAUUAUUCCAUGAAAUUAUUUCUAUAAUGCUCCCAUAUAUGAUCAAUUAGUGCAUUUCGAAGUAAGAAAUGAUUCUCUUUAUUUUUUAUUUGUAGAUUACGAGCCAAAAAUUGUUGAAAUCGGAUAUCCUCAUAAUAUGGCUGCUGAUAGUUUGAUAUUAUCAAACGAAAAAAUCCUUGAUCUUUUAAACGAAAGUAUAACAAGCAAGGAAAAAGGUCAUGAGAUGAUUGAAUUAUGACUACAAAAUAAAGCAAAAAAGUUAGCUUUUAAAAAAGUAAAAGAGAAAAAUAAAAUAUUGCUAAAAAACUUAGCUUCUAUCAAUCAUGUUAAUAUUCGUGAAUACAUUCGAUCUAAACAAGAAAGAAUCAUACGAAAAAUGCGUCAAGAGCAACAACAACAAUCAUCUUUGGUUACACAAAAUUUGUUUGGACGAUAUUUUGUAGAUUUUUGAGGUUCCGGAGCAAAUUUACCAUACUAUUAGUGUUGUCAUAAUAUUUAAAUUUGAGUAAUAAUUAUGUCUUCAUGUGUCUUUUUAAUAAGUUUGUAUUAUGGUUUUUUGUAAUAUUCUUGUUGUUUAAUUCUAGUUUUAAAAUAUUAUAAAUCUUGUUUAAAAAUUUUUUAUUUAAUUUCAUGUGUAAAAAUUAAAUUUAUAAAACAAAUUUAAAAUAUUUAUGAGAUAUAAAUUUUUUAAAGAUUAAAACAAUAAACAAAAAAAUAUUUAAGAAUUAUAAAUAUGAUGUAUAAUUGUAAGGACCAAAAUGCAAAUAAAAAGAUGAAACUUCAAAUUUGAAGUUUUGAAAAGUGAAACUCUAUAUUUGGAGUUUCACUCUUCAAAACUUCAAAUUUGAAGUUUUGAAGUUCCUUUUUGGAGAGCAAAAAACUCUAUAUUUGGAGUUAUAGAGUUUCUUUUGGAGAUGCUCUAACUCUUCAAGGUGUGUUCUUUAUAUACAAAUAUAAAUUAUGGACUAGCUUUCCUUAGGAAGUUUUACGCCGUUUUGAAAACUCCUCUUGUUUGAUUUCGCUUCCCUCUUCCAUACUCUGCAUCCUUGAGGAUAUUUUGCUCAAGUAAUCCACAACAUCAAGAACGAAAUAAGGGGUGGAUGAUAUCAAGGAUAAAUGAACACAUUGAGGUUAAUAAAGAAAAAAAUAAAAAAGUGAAACCUGACUUGUCGCGGUGUUGAAAAUUAACUCCUCGAAGCUGACAGCAACUCUCAUGAGCUCUUCGAUUCCUUCUUUCCCAGAAUAUGGAAUAUGUUUCUUCAGUGUUUCCAAUCUACUCAAAUGACAAAAGUAACUUGUCUAUCUAGAACCAUAUUCAUAGUGUCAAAGCAAUACAACAAAACUUUGUGAAACAUUCUACUUCUACAGAAUUUUGAUCAUUAAAUUGACUUAUGAAUGACAAAAGAGUAGCAAGAGUGAGAAAAUAUGACAAAUUUGGAAGAGGAACAAAACUCACAAUGUGUUGACAUUCUUCUGGCGUGAACCUGGUGGAUGUUGAGUUCUCCAGUCACCUCUGUUUAUGCCAAUAUUACCUAUGUGGACAAAACAAAGCAUUAAGUUCAGAUUUCUAACUCCAUUCAAAAGAAACAAAUCAAGUGGGAAAAUGGAUGCAGCUGACCUACAACAUCGAUUUAUUAAUUACACCAAGAAAAUGGAUUGCAUCUACAGAUUUGCUUGACUAGAAUGAUUACCGUUCUGAGGUUGCGGAAGCUGCCCUUGCUGUACUGGCUUCCUCGGCCUGUGCCUAUUUAAGAAACUUAUAAUCUGCGUCUCAUAAAAAUCCACCUUAUCCUUUAAUGCAGGCAUGAUAUUGCUCUUUGAAAUCAAUAGGAAUCGUAUCAUUCGUUCCAACAUUAUCUUGAAUUGUUUCAAUUUCUCAAAGUCCUUUAAUCUUUGCUGCUGCGGUAGUGAAUACUGCUGGAGAGAAAGAAAAAAAAAUCUGUUCAAUAGGAAAAGAGACAAAGCACAUAGAUGCAUGCAAGCUAGAACCUUGGUGGGUAUGAGAAGGAACAUAACUAUCAGAUGUUUACAUACGAGCCUCAAGAGCAUAUUUUCGUGAAAUGGUUAACAAGAUACCAAAGUGUUUGCAUUAAAUUCAUAGAAAUUCUCCCAGCUACUAGUGUUUCGGAGGACAUACACACACUACUCUCUUAGAGAAAAAAAAUAUCGUAACGUACUUUCUCCAACUUGGCUGAAGCUCUCUGGUAGAUUUCGUGAAGUUCUGCUAAGUACUUUUCGUUUAUAGUUCUGAUCUGCAUAGACAAAGCACCAUGUUUUCACACGAUUAUUCAUUACAGUGAUACUCUUUGUCUUAUUGCAUCUAUCUCUUGACACUUUAAUAAGCGUAGACAGAAUUAGUACUAUAUAUAGCGAACUUAUUUUAUCUCCCAGAAUUCAGCAAGAGUAAGAGGACACUACAGAAGCAUUAACUAGAAAGAAACAACUAUCUUUUGGUAAACCUCCUCUUGCCAAUCAACACCAUUUGCACUUUCCAUCUGAUGCUCAGCAUCAGAUCCUGCUGAGGUGGGAUUAUGUAAAGUAUGAGAACCUAAAGUAUUCACAAGGAUGUAGAAAAAGCAUACAUGAUGGAAUCUCCGGAAGGGUUCUUUGGGAUUGAUAUAGUUGGUCCACUACAUUUUGAGGUGGAAGCAGAGAACCUGUGACUUGACCUGAAGAUUGUAGCCUCUGUUGCACAUCCUGUUGUAGCAGAUUAGGUUGUUGUUGCAAACCUAACUGCUGAUGAUGCGACUGUUGGCCCCGAAACAGAAACAAGCCAUGAGCAGCCUGAUGCAGCCCAACGGUUGGCUGUGAUAACAUGUGCACCGACUGCUGGUUAGUCUGGGAACUGAGCAACUGAUGUUGUGGUUGCUGCAGUCCUGCAACACUUCUUUGAGUGCCCAAUGGUUGCUGAUGAAGGCUGUUUUGUUGAGACAUCAAAUGCUGUGGCAACGGAUUUCUCCAGUCACCAGGUUCUCCUUUUGGAACGGAAGGUCUCCAAUUGUUGUUAUCCAUCACCUGUUCCUUACGACCACACACAAGACAAUCCGAUUUUAUGCCAAGAUUCAGAGCAGCUAGGCUAAUAAUGAUAGCAAGUUUGAGCCACGGAAUCACCAAUUCCAAAGAAAAUUAAAAUCAGUUGACUUCACUGAUCAGUCAAUUUUUUUCAUUUCUGUUUGCUAUUGGUAGCAAGAAAGAGACAGAGUCAACCUCAAAGUAGCAUAUCCGAGAAAACGAGUAAGCUCAAUCACACCAACAAAGUCAAAUCUAUUCUCCUAAAUAGUAUUAAGAACCGAGAACCACAAUCAAUAAAGCUUGAUGGGCUAUAUAGUAGUAUGUCUUCACGAGACUCCCGAUCCACAAGAUUUGAAAAUUUAACUUGUAUUAAACUUGUAUCAUUCGCUCCAACAUUGUCUUUAAUUGUUUCAAUCUAUUAAACUGCAGAGAUCUUUGUUGAUGCGGAAAAUAAUUCUGCUCGAGACAAAAAAAAGAAUGUUUUCAACAAGAAAGAGACGAGCACAUAGAUUGCAAGCUAAAGGAACAUAAAUAUCCGAUGUUUACUUUCUAGUGGACAGUAAAAAUACGAGCAUCUUUUGGUGCAAUGGUUUUCAAGAUGCCAAAGUUGUAUGACUUUCUUUUGCAAUAUCGAACCGGUCUUGCAUUGAAUUCAUAGGGAAUUCUCGCUCAGAUACUCUACUGAUUCGGAGGACAUACACUCUACUCUCCUAGAAAAAUAUAUCGCAACUUACUUGCUGCAACUUGGCUGCAACUCUCUGUUUGACUUCUUUUAGAUCUGAUAAGUACGUAUCUCUCAAAGUUUUGAUCUGCAAAGACAAGCACAAAGAUCACACGGUUACUCAUUACGAUGAUAACAAAAUAAGAUCACCUGCCGUGCUGCAUUUAUCUCUUUUAGAUUUAAUAAACGUAGACAGAAUAGGUAUAUAGAUAGCAAACUUAUUUAAUCUCCCCCAAACACUUAUGAGUACUGACGGCAAGACUAAGAGGCCUGAAGCAUUACCCAAACUAGUAAGAAAAACUACCUUUUGGUAAACCUCCUCUUGCCAAUCAACAGCAUUUCCACUUUCCGUCUGUGCCAUGGAGUUUAACAAUGCUACAAUUUAUAAAAAUGGGGUUUGUUCAGCAUCAGAUCCAGCUGAGGGAUUAACUUAUGUAAAGUAUUCACAAGGAUGUAAACGCAUACACACAGGAUGGAAUCUCUGGAAGGGUUUGUCUCUGUUGGUCCACUACAUUUUGAGGUGGAAGCAGGGAACCUGUGAAUUGGCCUGAAGAUUGUAGCCUUUGUAGCAGAUUAGGUUGUUGUAACUGCUGAUGAUGCGACUGAAGGGGCAUCAUCAGCUGCUGCUGGGAUGGCUGAUUUUGUGACUGUUGGCCUUGAGAAGAAAACACAACAUGAGAUGAUUGUUGGGGAAGCUCCCCUUGCUGAACUGGAUUCCUCGGCCUUAGC